GACGAACGCUGGCGGCGUGCCUAAUACAUGCAAGUCGAGCGGACGUUUUUGAAGCUUGCUUCAAAAACGUUAGCGGCGGACGGGUGAGUAACACGUGGGCAACCUGCCUUAUCGACUGGGAUAACUCCGGGAAACCGGGGCUAAUACCGGAUAACAUCUAGCACCUCCUGGUGCCAGAUUAAAAGAGGGCCUUCGGGCUCUCCCGGUGAGAUGGGCCCGCGGAGCAUCAGCUAGUUGGGGAGGUAAUGGCACCCCAAGGCGACAAUGCGUAGCCGACCUGAGAGGGUGAUCGGCCACACUGGGACUGAGACACGGCCCAGACUCCUACGGGAGGCAGCAGUAGGGAAUCUUCCGCAAUGGACGAAAGUCUGACGGAGCAACGCCGCGUGAGUGAUGAAGGGUUUCGGCUCGUAAAGCUCUGUUAUGAGGGAAGAACACGUACCGUUCGAAUAGGGCGGUACCUUGACGGUACCUCAUCAGAAAGCCACGGCUGACUACGUGCCAGCCGCCGCGGUAA
rnacentral:rRNA from 1 species